rnacentral:rRNA from 1 species
AUUGAACGCUGGCGGCAUGCCUUACACAUGCAAGUCGAACGGUAACGCGGGGCAACCUGGCGACGAGUGGCGAACGGGUGAGUAAAGCAUCGGAACGUGCCCAGUAGUGGGGGAUAGCCCGGCGAAAGCCGGAUUAAUACCGCAUACGACCUAUGGGUGAAAGGGGGGGAUCGCGAGACCUCUCGCUAUUGGAGCGGCCGAUGUCAGAUUAGGUAGUUGGUGGGGUAAAGGCCUACCAAGCCGACGAUCUGUAGCUGGUCUGAGAGGACGACCAGCCACACUGGGACUGAGACACGGCCCAGACUCCUACGGGAGGCAGCAGUGGGGAAUUUUGGACAAUGGGCGCAAGCCUGAUCCAGCCAUGCCGCGUGCGGGAAGAAGGCCUUCGGGUUGUAAACCGCUUUUGUCAGGAACGAAACGGCUCUCUCUAAUACAGGGGGCUAAUGACGGUACCGUAAGAAUAAGCACCGGCUAACUACGUGCCAGCCGCCGCCGUAACAC